rnacentral:rRNA from 1 species
UAAUACGUAGGGGGCGAGCGUUGUCCGGAAUUACUGGGCGUAAAGGGCGUGUAGGCGGCCGGUUAAGUCAGAUGUGAAAACCCUGGGCUCAACCUGGGGAUGGCAUUUGAAACUGACCGGCUUGAGGGCAGGAGAGGGAAGCGGAAUUUCCAGUGUAGCGGUGAAAUGCGUAGAUAUUGGGAGGAACACCAGUGGCGAAGGCGGCUUUCUGGACUGCACCUGACGCUGAGGCGCGAAAGCUAGGGGAGCGAACGGGAUUAGAUACCCCGGUAGUCCUAGCCGUAAACGAUGGGUACUAGGUGUGGGAGGUAUCGACCCCUUCCGUGCCGGAGUUAACGCAAUAAGUACCCCGCCUGGGGACUACGGCCGCAAGGUUG